GUUUCUCUCUCCUCUCAGCCAUGGCUGUCCCGGCGACGCCGCUUCUCAAGGACGAGCUCGACAUCGUUAUUCCGACGAUCCGCAACCUCGACUUCCUCGAGAUGUGGCGGCCGUUUCUCCAGCCCUACCACCUCAUCAUCGUCCAGGACGGCGAUCCGUCGAAGACGAUCAAGGUCCCGGAGGGCUACGACUACGAGCUGUACAACCGGAACGAUAUUAACCGGAUCUUGGGCCCCAAGGCGUCUUGUAUCUCGUUCAAGGAUUCGGCGUGCCGGUGUUUUGGCUACAUGGUGUCGAAGAAGAAGUAUAUUUUCACCAUCGACGAUGACUGCUUCGUUGCCAAAGAUCCAUCUGGCAAACAGAUCAAUGCUCUUGAGCAGCACAUUAAGAACCUCCUCAGCCCAGCCACCCCCUUCUUCUUUAACACCCUGUACGACCCUUAUCGCGAGGGUGCAGAUUUCGUCCGUGGCUAUCCUUUCAGUCUCCGUGAAGGAGUUCCAACAGCUGUUUCUCACGGCCUUUGGCUCAACAUUCCCGAUUAUGAUGCCCCCACCCAACUCGUCAAGCCUCUGGAAAGGAAUAGCAGGUAUGUUGAUGCGGUUCUCACUAUCCCCAAGGGAACCUUGUUCCCCAUGUGCGGGAUGAACUUGGGAUUCAACCGUGAGCUUAUCGGCCCAGCAAUGUAUUUUGGGCUUAUGGGUGACGGUCAGCCGAUUGGGCGUUACGACGAUAUGUGGGCGGGAUGGUGCAUCAAGGUGAUUUGUGAUCACUUGGGAUGGGGAGUGAAGACAGGCCUUCCCUACAUUUGGCACAGCAAAGCGAGCAAUCCAUUUGUCAACCUCAAAAAGGAGUACAACGGCAUUUACUGGCAAGAGGAGCUGAUCCCCUUCUUCCAGUCGGCGACCCUGUCGAAGGAGUGCACGACCGUCCAGAAGUGCUACAUCGAGCUCUCCAAGCAGGUGAAGGAGAAGCUCGGUAAGGUGGAUCCUU
rnacentral:misc_RNA from 1 species